GUCUAUCAUGCCAAUGAUGUGCGGAUAUUGGCAGGGCCUCUGGCCCUUCCGUGGAAAUUACGGAGUCUCUGAAGGAACCGGGGCGGGCGCCAUGUGGGCGCCAUCAGUGAGCUAACAACGGUCCCAUCCAUCCUCACUUCUCCUUGGGUUUACUUCAAAAAAGUCAGCUUGGAAAACUUGUCCAGUAACUUCAGUGGUCCCACGUUACAUCACCAAAACAUAAGCCAGAGGUAGAGAUAUUCUUGCCAUUUAGUCUUUUCGUUUCUUCUCAGAGAAAGACACCGAUCCUGUUCAUAUUAAAAGGAGCAGAAGUCAAGAAGAUACCUGACCAGAAUGGAUUCAUCUUCAUAUUAAGUACAGCCUUACUCUAACCAAAUGAUCAUCGUGUCCCAUGCACUGAGCUACUCAUUGGCGACAGAGAGAUGAUCAAGACUGCCCUCAAGGUGUUUGCACGUUUGUGAAGAGAGAAACAGGAAACAGAACUGUAAAUGCUGUGAUAAAGGUCAGUUCAAUAUAUUCUCAGAGGCAUAUUUUUUAGAGGUCAUUGCUCCUCUAAGAAAAUGUACUAUGGUUACUUCCUGGAAAUGAGGAGGCAUAAGACCAUGCCAAUCACUGUGACUAUUUCUGCUCCUUGUUUGUCUUUUAACACUCCCUAAAGACCUGAAAAGGAAUAAAUACCUCAGCUCAA